rnacentral:ncRNA from 1 species
CCUUAUUAAGAGUAGUGGAGGGAACAGGCCCUUUGAAGCUCGGCAACCUGCGAAAGCAAGGUGCUAAAUCCUGCGGUUUUUAGGUCGACCGAAAGAUAAGG